CUUGCCCCAAGAUUUCGUCUUGGGUCAGAGGCAGCCCUUCUAGAAACAACUUGACUUUUUGGCUCCAUGUGGGCAGAAAAAGAAGUUCUAUAGCUUUGGGCAACUCAGACAUCCUCAGUUUGUCCCACAUGCACAGAAAUGGUGGUGAAGUGAUAUCAUCUCCAUUUGACAUACAAGGAAGGAGAGGAAAAGAAAAAUCAGUGCUGAGAAGCGCUGUUGAAGAAUCCAGUGUAAACGCAGCCAUUUUCUCCUUCAUGUAUGCUUCUCCUUCAAGCUGGGUAUCUGUUGUGGUCAUGGUUAGGACUUGGAAGCUGUCUGUCUCAGCAACAGGCUGCAACGUUUGCUUUUCUCCUCCUCUGAGCGCUGUUACCUCAGCAUCUGCAACCCUGGCAGCGUUCAGGUCUGUUCAGGCAUGUCAGUCCACCAGAGCCUGA
rnacentral:lncRNA from 1 species